GACAGAGGUGCCGAGCGUUAGGCGGAAUCACUGGGCUUAAAGCGUGUGUAGGCGGACCGUUAAGUGUCUUGUGAAAUCCCACGGCUCAACCGUGGAACGGCUGGGCAUACUGGCGGUCUUGAGCGGUCCAGGGGCGAGCGGAACAAGCGGUGGAGCGGUGAAAUGCGUAGAUAUCGCUUGGAACGCCGACGGUGAAAACAGCUCGCUGGGGACCCGCUGACGCUGAGACACGAAAGCCAGGGGAGCAAAGCGGG
rnacentral:rRNA from 1 species